rnacentral:rRNA from 1 species
UACGAAGGGGGCUAGCGUUGCUCGGAAUCACUGGGCGUAAAGCGCACGUAGGCGGCUUUCUAAGUCAGGGGUGAAAUCCUGGAGCUCAACUCCAGAACUGCCUUUGAUACUGGAGAGCUUGAGUCCGGAAGAGGUGAGUGGAACUCCGAGUGUAGAGGUGAAAUUCGUAGAUAUUCGGAAGAACACCAGUGGCGAAGGCGGCUCGCUGGUCCGGUACUGACGCUGAGGAGCGAAAGCAUGGGGAGCGAACAGG